rnacentral:rRNA from 1 species
AUUGAACGCUGGCGGCAUGCUUUACACAUGCAAGUCGAACGGCAGCGCGGGGCAACCUGGCGGCGAGUGGCGAACGGGUGAGUAAUAUAUCGGAACGUACCCAGAAGUGGGGGAUAACGUAGCGAAAGUUACGCUAAUACCGCAUACGAUCUACGGAUGAAAGUAGGGGACCGCAAGGCCUUAUGCUUUUGGAGCGGCCGAUAUCUGAUUAGCUAGUUGGUGAGGUAAAGGCUCACCAAGGCGACGAUCAGUAGCUGGUCUGAGAGGACGACCGGCCACACUGGAACUGAGACACGGUCCAGACUCCUACGGGAGGCAGCAGUGGGGAAUUUUGGACAAUGGGCGCAAGCCUGAUCCAGCAAUGCCGCGUGAGUGAAGAAGGCCUUCGGGUUGUAAAGCUCUUUUGUCAGGGAAGAAACGGUAGAGGCUAAUAUCCUUUGCUAAUGACGGUACCUGAAGAAUAAGCACCGGCUAACUACGUG